rfam:Citrus clementina cultivar Clemenules unplaced genomic scaffold scaffold_1, whole genome shotgun sequence.
GCCUCUGUAACAUAGUGGUUAAUGUAGUCGCCUUUUAAGCGAAAAGUCGUGAGUUCGAAUCUCACCAGGGGCA